ACUUGAUCUUAACUUUUCAGUUUCGAACCAUUUUUUGUCAUCGAAAGGUUUAUUGACUAAAAUCUCUAUCAGAUUGCUGUUAUGUUCCAUUUCCACUUUUUGGGUGUCGGAAUGACGUGAAACAUUAAAUCUAGCCUCAAAAAAAUAAUUCCGACAUAUUUUCAAAUUUUCAUAAUUUUCUGAUACUGCGAAUUUUCUGGUAGAAAAUAAGCCCCGUUCCUCACAGAAAAUUUUAAAUCUCCUAUUUUUAUUUUAAUUUCACCACAAAUUAUUUCUAAAUUAUAUUUUGCUUUUGUAAGUCCAAUAAAAAUAGUAUCUCACACUAUUUUUUUUGGCUAAAUUAUAUAAAGCUUCCUUGUCAAAAUCCGAUUUUUCACUUUCCCCCCUUGUCAUUUAAAAACAUACACUUUACUCUCUUGUAAAAUGAAAAAUGUUCACUUCGCCCCCUGUCGCU
rnacentral:lncRNA from 1 species